UCAUAAAAUGCUGCCUUCACAUGCUGUUGGGAGGAUGAGCCUUUCCACUUAUGAAUUUAAAAUUACCAGUGUGUUGUGUUCAAGUGCUUUUGUUGUCGUAGCAAAAUGAAAAAUGUCUGACACACAAUUCUUCGUGACCUGUUACUUGGAUCUUUUGUUUUGGUUUCUGCA